UACGUAGGGGGCGAGCGUUGUCCGGAGUUACUGGGCGUAAAGGGCGUGCAGGCGGUUUUCUAAGUUCGGAGUGACAGUUCCCGGCUCAACUGGGGAAGGCCUACCGAAAACUGGAGAACUUGAGGGCCAGAGAGGGACAUAGAAUUCCGGGUGGAGUGGUGAAAUGCGUAGAUAUCAGGAGGAACACCGAUGGCGAAGGCAGCUCGCUGGGACGGUACUGACGCUGAGGCGCGAAAGCGUGGGGAGCAAACAGG
rnacentral:rRNA from 1 species